GACGUAGGGCGCGAGCGUUGUCCGGAUUUAUUGGGCGUAAAGGGCUCGUAGGCGGCUUGUCGCGUCGACUGUGAAAACCCGCGGCUCAACUGCGGGCCUGCAGCCGAUACGGGCAGGCUAGAGUUCGGUAGGGGAGACUGGAAUUCCGGGUGUAGUGGUGAAAUGCGUAGAGAUCCGGAGGAACCCCAGAGGCGAAGGCGGCGCUCUGGCUCGCAACUGACGCUCAGACACGACAGCAUGGGGAGCGAACGGG
rnacentral:rRNA from 1 species